rnacentral:rRNA from 1 species
AUUGAACGCUGGCGGCAGGCCUAACACAUGCAAGUCGAACGAGUGGCGGACGGGUGAGUAAUGUCUGGGAAACUGCCUGAUGGAGGGGGAUAACUACUGGAAACGGUGGCUAAUACCGCAUACCAUCAGAUGUGCCCAUAUGGGAUUAGCUAGUUGGUGGGGUAACGGCUCACCAAGGCGACGAUCCCUAGCUGGUCUGAGAGGAUGACCAGGCACACUGGGACUGAGACACGGUCCAGACUCCUACGGGAGGCAGCAGUGGGGAAUAGUGCACAAUGGGCGCAAGCCUGAUGCAGCCAUGCCGCGUGUAUGAAGAAGGCCUUAGGGUUGUAAAGUACUUUCAGCGGGGAGGCGUUACCCGCAGAAGAAGCACCGGCUAACUCCGUGCCAGCAGCCGCGGUAAUUC